UACGGAGGGUGCAAGCGUUGUCCGGAUUUAUUGGGUUUAAAGGGUGCGUAGGCGGCUUUUUAAGUCAGUGGUGAAAGCCUCCAGCUUAACUGGAGAACAGCCAUUGAUACUGAAGAGCUUGAGUACAGACGAGGUAGGCGGAAUUUAUGGUGUAGCGGUGAAAUGCAUAGAUACCAUAAAGAACUCCUAUUGCGAAGGCAGCUUACUAGGCUGUAACUGACGCUGAGGCACGAAAGCCAGGGGAGCAAACGGG
rnacentral:rRNA from 1 species